rnacentral:rRNA from 1 species
GAUGAACGCUAGCUACAGGCUUAACACAUGCAAGUCGAGGGGCAUCAGGAAGAAAGCUUGCUUUCUUUGCUGGCGACCGGCGCACGGGUGAGUAACACGUAUCCAACCUGCCGCAUACUCCGGAAUAGCCUUUCGAAAGAAAGAUUAAUGCCGGAUGGCAUGUAUGUCCUGCAUGGGAUUUACAUUAAAGAUUCAUCGGUAUGCGAUGGGGAUGCGUUCCAUUAGCUUGUUGGCGGGGUAACGGCCCACCAAGGCAACGAUGGAUAGGGGUUCUGAGAGGAAGGUCCCCCACAUUGGGAACUGAGACACGGUCCAAACUCCUACGGGAGGCAGCAGUGAGGAAUAUU